UGGUGGUUAUCGCGGGGCGGCUGCACCCGUUCCCAUUCCGAACACGGCCGUGAAACGCCCCAGCGCCAAUGGUACUUCGUCUCAAG
rnacentral:rRNA from 1 species